GUCUUUGGAAAAACUGAUCCUAGAUGAUUAUUGUAUAGAAAAGAUUACUAGAUCUCUCGAACUUGAGACACUUGAAGCAUUUAAUUGCUCGCUAGUGCAAAAAAUUAACCAAGAUUCAAGGACUCGAUCGAUUGGAAUCCUUGGAGACCAUGGAUUUGGGGUAUUCUAUAGAAAGAUUACUAGAUCUCUCUAACUUGAGAAACUUGAAGCGCUUAGAUGCUUGCUACUGCGACAACCUAAUGGAGAUUCAAGGCCUUGAUAGAUUGGGAUCCUUGGAGACCUUGGAUUUGAGGUGGUGCUCGUAUGUGGAAAGAUUACCAGAUCUCUCCAACUUGAGAAACUUGAAGCAUUUAAAUGCUCACAAGUGCAAAAAACUAACGGAGAUUCAAGGCCUUGAUAGAUUGGAAUCCUUGGAGACCUUGGAUUUGGGGUGGUGCUUGUCUAUGGAAAGAUUACCAUUAUCUCUCCAACUGAAGAAACUUGAAGCAUUUAAAUGCUCACAAGUGCAAAAAACUAACGGAGAUUCAAGGCCUUGAUAGAUUGGAAUCCUUGAGACCUUUGAUUCUGAGUGAUGCUCAUCUAUGGAAAGAUUACCAGAUUCCGAAGAUUACCAAAUCUCUCCAACUUGAGAAACUUCACCUGGGUGAACAAUUUUGAAUUGAAGUUUGGACAGGAAGAAGUCAUGUGGGAAUAUCAUCUCCUAGUGGAUUUGAAGUGUCUGCAACCUUCCAUUGAGAUGGGGAAGAACGAGUCUCAGCCCUAGAGGGUGGGCUUUGGUUCAUCUCUGUGAACCAGAGAAGGUUGAGCUCUUGAAGAUGGAACAGAAGACCAGGGGAAGAGGGGAGCAAAGGUGAUCUGGAAACAGAUCGAGACUUCUGCUUCAGAUGUAGAGCCAAACCCAGGGGAAAUGAGUGUGGUGGGGGAGCUUGAAUUUGAGGUUCCUGCUUCAGGUGUUGGUCUCUCGGAUCAUGAGGAUUGGAUAGAUCUCGGUUCUUCCUCCAAGAUAGAGAUGUAAAUCCCAGAUCUGUCAAACCCGAGAAAUUGACAGAGUUAAGAUUCAUUUUAUGUUAGCCAUGUUGAAGCAUAUAGAAUAAAUGCUGGGUUGGUAUUUGUUUCCUAUUGACAUCUCCACUGUUAGAUAUAGUGCUAGGAAAUCCUCCCAUAUAACUAAAGAUGCACAUCUCAAGUGGAACUCUCUUAGGCCUUCCAGGUCCCUUCUACUUGGAGGUUUUUUUAUUUGGAGGACGGAAACUGGAAGAAAUCCAUUGGCACAGAGCUACGGUUGAGCUCACAUUCAUUCAGUUGGCUGCGCAAGUGACCUUCCUGAAAUAAAACCUCUGUUCAUAUUGUACGAUCUGCAGGUAAAAAAUAAAUCAAAGCAUCUCUAUACAUUUGAGGACUACUCACAAACCUGGUUGUGGUUGAAGGUAGGGACAGAUUUCUCAUUUGCUGUUUGUUGGACAUGAACCCACUAUAUUUGGUAUGCAAGCCACAUGCUCUACCAGGCUAAGAAGGCAAAGAAGCUGUUUUUUUUGUCCUAUAAUGCAGCAUGGAGUAUGGAUUGUUAGUGUGGGUCAGCUAUGGUUCUACUUCUGGAUUCAAGGUGAAUCCAUUUAAGAAUACAAUUUAAAGCCUGAAAAUUUGAUUCUGGAAGUGAGACAUCCAAGCUUUCACAAAUUCUGAUCAUGCAUACCCAGACACAGAGCAACUUGUGAAGGUGCAUGCAUACAUUGUAAGCUCGAACCAUCAAAUUGGAUGAGGCAACAGCAAGAAAUUCCCAGAUGUUGAGCCAUGAGCUCCUCCUUUUCCUAUGCUAAUGCUCGCUCCUUUCAAAUGCUAUGCACAAUCAUUUUCGGAGUAAUCCAUACUCAAUGACCACCCAUGGAUUCACAUGCUUGAAGAUAUCCGACUCAUGGCCACUCAUGGCCUAAAAGUUAUUUCAUCGGACACAAGAGAGCACUGGUGUGAAGAUUGUGAAAUAUUUUUGUUCCAUGAUAAGUUUUAGAGUUUUCACAUCUUGAGCUAAAAACUUAAAUUUUGUCUCAAUUUUGGUAAUUGACAUCAAGAACGGGAAAAUCUUAAUUUAACAGCUUAACAUGGG